GGGUAGGGUUGGUUUAGGGUUAGGGUAAGGGUAGGGUUAGAGGUAGGGUUAGGAAUAGGGUUAGGGUUACCCUACCCUAACUCUACCCCUAACCCUACUCCAACCACUAACCCUAAC